AACAAAAUAUGACUUCGCUCAUAUAUGCCCGAUAAUAUGGUUCGGGCGUCUCUACACCACACCGUAAAUGCUGGUACUAUGGGUGU
rnacentral:ncRNA from 1 species